AAAAAACCUCAGAUGGAGGCCUCAGGAGAAUGACUGAUCAGGCCGGUGAGAAAGGAAAGCCUGGGGGAAAACUUGGCUUCCUGCCUGGGGGAGAGGCUGGAGAGCAGCCACUGAACAGAGCUCUGUCUCAGAUGGAGGAGGGGUGGCAAGGGGAAGACGGGAGAAGAGGAAGGGACAGGACAUUCCACUUAGACAAUCAAACUUGAAGUGUUUACGGUCUAGGGUAGAUGUCCAACAGGGAGCAGGGACUAUCAAUCUGGAACUCAGAGACGAAACCAUGGAGUGACAGGUGCAGGUUAAGAGCCUGUUAGGUCCAAAAUGGUGCCCCAGAAAUUCAAGUUAAGUCAAGCCCAUGUUGGAAGACCACCAGGUGUUCUUCUCUAAUGACGAGCUCUGAGGAAUCCCCAAAUGAUGUCCUCCUUGUUCUCCCCUGGUACACUGAGUCUGCAGACCAUCCAGAAGGAUCCUGCUGCCUCCUGCUCGGUGAUUAACUUUGAGGAACCUCGGACAAUAUCCUUCUCAGAGUUAAAGUCCAUGAUUGAAAAGUGGCGUAAAAUUUUAUCUGGCUCUGUGCCGGGCCCUGCCAAGCUCUUCUCAAACUCGAUCAGCUGUUGUGUCAGCUUCGAGUCCAGGUGUUCUCCAAACAAUCCAAAGAAGUUUCCGGGAUCCUGGCAAGGCUGCCUUCCUGGGGCAGAGCCAUGGUUUCCUCCACCCGUGUGUCAGGACAUAAUUUCACAAACCGGGGUAUCUACUUCACCAUUAACAAUGCAGUCAUCUUGAUUUCCAGAACUUACUGACUCAUCCACAGUCCUCAGGGGCCCCAACAGCUCUACAAAACCUUCUGGAAAAAUGCCUCUUCGGCCCUCUAACUCCCCUUCAAACCAGCCUGGUUCAGGAACUCCAAUAAUGGUGAUCACAUCCCCUUCCCUGAAGUCCAGCUCUUCAUCCAGCUGAGCAGAAAGCCCCAUUAGGGCCCGGGCUUGUCCCAUGGAAUAUUCCGGAAUCUGAAACAGGGCGCUCUGGGAGUGCCACUGCCGGCUCUGUGAGGAGAGGCAGAGCUCGCGGACACAUGAAGAUGGGAAGAAGCCCCGUGCGCCCCAGCAGCUUCGGCCCUGCAGCCAGCCUGCAGUGGGAAUGCCAUCGAGAAUCACCAGGUCACCUAAAGAAAAGAGGAGCAGAGAUGGUGACCUCAGUCAUCACCCAGCAGAACAUUAUCACGACUAAUAGUGCAACCUCUCAUUUUAAACAGCUACCAAAUUCAAGGAAAUACACCUAGAGCUUUAGGAGCAUGAACAAUUUUGACAAUUUAUUGAAUUGGAGCAGUUCUAUAAACCUGUAGUUUUCAGAGUGUUCCAUGGAACCCUACAGGUGGGUCUCCAAGAUCCUAGCAGAGAAUCUGUGAGGUCAAAACCAUUCUCAUAAUAACACUAAGACUUUAUCUACAUAUUUUACUCUGCUGACUUUUGUAAUCUCUGUGAAAAAGCAAUGGUGAUUAAAACUGCUGGCCAGCUAGGUGCUGUGGCUUACACCAGAAAUCCGAGCACUUUGGGAGGCCAAGGCAGGAGGAUCGCUUGAGACCAGGAGUUCAAAACCAGCCUGGGCAACAUGUCAAGACCUUGUCUCUACAAUAAAUUUAAAAAUUAGCUGUGCACUGUGGCUCAUGCCUGUAGUCCCAGCUAUUCAGGAGGCUGAGGUGGGAGGAUAGCUUGAACCCAGGAGGUCAAGGCUGCAGUAAGCUGUGAUUUCACCACUACGCUCCAGUCUGGGUGACAGAGCAACACUUGUCUCAAAAAUAAAAAUAAAAUGGCUGGGCGCGAUGGCUCAUGCCUGUGAUCCCAGCACUUUGGGAGGCCAAGGCAGGCGGAUCACUUGAGGUCAGGAGUUCGAGAGCAGCCUGGUCAACAUGGUGAAACACCAUCUCUACUAAAAAUACAAAAAUUAGCUGAGCAUGGUGGCACGUGCCUGUAGUCCCAGCUAUUCAGGAGGCUGAGGCAGAAAUUAAACUCAGGAGGCAGAGGUCGCAGUGAGCCGAGAUCGCACCACUGCACUCCAGCUUGGGCAACAGAGCAAGACUCCAUCUCAAAAAAAUAAUAAAUUAAUUAAAAACUGCUGGCAAUUCAUAAGCAAAGGCAGUAGCCACAAAUUACAUGAAUAGUCACUGUAUGGUCAUCGUAUUCUUCACAACCAUGUACUCACAGUUUUUAAAAAAGCCAUUUUCAGUUAAGAAGCAAUACAAAUUAUGCACUGUGCUAAAUCUCAACCCUUAAGAACAAUUCUUUUGUAAUAUUCUGUGUGACAAUAUAGGAAUUACACAUAAAGCACUUUUACUGCUGAGG
rnacentral:lncRNA from 10 species